rfam:Schistosoma rodhaini strain Burundi genome assembly, scaffold: SROB_scaffold0000509
AUCCAGCUGGCGAGUCCCGAAUAGGACGAAACACGCCUCCUGAAU